UACGGAGGGUGCAAGCGUUAAUCGGAAUUACUGGGCGUAAAGCGUGCGUAGGCGGUUCGUUAAGUCUGUUGUGAAAGCCCCGGGCUCAACCUGGGAAUGGCAAUGGAUACUGGCGAGCUAGAGUGUGUCAGAGGAUGGUGGAAUUCCCGGUGUAGCGGUGAAAUGCGUAGAGAUCGGGAGGAACAUCGAGUGGACGAAGGCGGCCAUCUGGGACAACACUGACGCUGAGGCACGAAAGCGUGGGGAGCAAACAGG
rnacentral:rRNA from 1 species